rnacentral:rRNA from 1 species
GUUGUGAGGUUAAGCGACUAAGCGUACACGGUGGAUGCCCUGGCAGUCAGAGGCGAUGAAGGGCGUGCUAAUCUGCGAUAAGCGCCGGUAAGGUGAUAUGAACCGUUAUAACCGGCGAUACCCGAAUGGGGAAACCCAGUGUGAUUCGUCACACUAUCAUUAACUGAAUCCAUAGGUUAAUGAGGCGAACCGGGGGAACUGAAACAUCUAAGUACCCCGAGGAAAAGAAAUCAACCGAGAUUCCCCCAGUAGCGGCGAGCGAACGGGGAAGAGCCCAGAGCCUGAAUCAGCAUGUGUGUUAGUGGAAGCGUCUGGAAAGGCGCGCGAUACAGGGUGACAGCCCCGUACACAAAAGCGCAUGUGCUGUGAGCUCGAUGAGUAGGGCGGGACACGUGGUAUCCUGUCUGAAUAUGGGGGGACCAUCCUCCAAGGCUAAAUACUCCUGACUGACCGAUAGUGAACCAGUACCGUGAGGAAAGGCGAAAAGAACCCGGCGAGGAGUGAAAAGAACCUGAAACCGUGUACGUACAAGGGGAGCACAGGUUUACCUGUGUGACUGCGUACCUUUGAUAAUGGGUCAGCGACUUAUAUUCUGUAAAGGUUAACCGUAUAGGAGCCGCAGGAAACCGAGUCUUAACCGGGCGUUAAGUUGCAGGGUAUAGACCGAAACCCGGUGAUCUAGCCAUGGGCAGGUUGAAGGUUGGGUAACACUAACUGGAGGACCGAACCGACUAAUGUUGAAAAUUAGCGGAUGACCUGUGGCUGGGGUGAAAGGCCAAUCAAACCGGAGAUAGCUGGUUCUCCCGAAAGCUAUUUAGGUAGCGCCUCGUGAAUUCAUCUCCGGGGUAGAGCACUGUUUCGGCUAGGCCAUCCCGGCUUACCAACCCGAUGCAAACUGCGAAUACCGGAGAAUGUUAUCACGGGAGACACACGGCGGGUGCUAACGUCCGUCGUGAAGAGGGAAACAACCCAGACCGCCAGCUAAGGUCCCAAAGUCAUGGUUAAGUGGGAAACGAUGUGGGAAGGCCCAGACAGCCAGGAUGUUGGCUUAGAAGCAGCCAUCAUUUAAAGAAAGCGUAAUAGCUCACUGGUCGAGUCGGCCUGCGCGGAAGAUGUAACGGGGCUAAACCAUGCACCGAAGCUGCGGCAGCGAACGUAUCACUUAAAGCGAUUCAGCGGGUUACGAUUGACGGAGCGAAGCGACGUCAAAGCGUAUACAAAGUCGAGUCGGUUUAAGGAUACGUUCGUUGGGUAGGGGAGCGUUCUGUAAGCCUGUGAAGGUGUGUCGUGAGGCAUGCUGGAGGUAUCAGAAGUGCGAAUGCUGACAUAAGUAACGAUAAAGCGGGUGAAAAGCCCGCUCGCCGGAAGACCAAGGGUUCCUGUCCAACGUUAAUCGGGGCAGGGUGAGUCGACCCCUAAGGCGAGGCCGAAAGGCGUAGUCGAUGGGAAACGGGUUAAUAUUCCCGUACUUGGUGUUACUGCGAAGGGGGGACGGAGAAGGCUAUGUUGGCCGGGCGACGGUUGUCCCGGUUUAAGCGUGUAGGCUGGUUUUCCAGGGAAAUCCGGAAAAUCAAGGCUGAGGCGUGAUGACGAGGCACUACGGUGCUGAAGCAACAAAUGCCCUGCCUCUAAGCAUCAGGUAACAUCAAAUCGUACCCCAAACCGACACAGGUGGUCAGGUAGAGAAUACCAAGGCGCUUGAGAGAACUCGGUGAAGGAACUAGGCAAAAUGGUGCCGUAACUUCGGGAGAAGGCACGCUGACACGUAGGUGAAGUGAUUUACUCAUGGAGCUGAAGUCAGUCGAAGAUACCAGCUGGCUGCAACUGUUUAUUAAAAACACAGCACUGUGCAAACACGAAAGUGGACGUAUACGGUGACGCCUGCCCGGUGCCGGAAGGUUAAUUGAUGGGUCAGCGCAAGCGAAGCUCCUGAUCGAAGCCCGGUAAACGGCGGCCGUAACUAUAACGGUCCUAAGGUAGCGAAAUUCUUUGUCGGGUAAGUUCCGACCUGCACGAAUGGCGUAAUGAUGGCGCUGUCUCCACUCAGUGAAAUUGAACUCGCUGUGAAGAUGCAGUGUACCCGCGGCAAGACGGAAAGACCCCGUGAACCUUUACUAUAGCUUGACACUGAACAUUGAGCCUUGAUGUAGGAUAGGUGGAGGCUUUGAAGUGGACGCCAGUCUGCAUGGAGCCGACCUGAAAUACCACCCUUUAAUGUUUGAUGUUCUAACGUGGACCCGUAAUCCGGUUGCGGACAGUGUCUGGUGGUAGUUUGACUGGGGCGGUCUCCUAAAGAGUAACGGAGGAGCACGAAGGUUGGCUAAUCCGGUCGGACAUCAGGAGGUUAGUGCAAUGGCAUAAGCCAGCUUGACUGCGAGCGUGACGGCGCGAGCAGGUGCGAAAGCAGGUCAUAGUGAUCCGGUGGUUCUGAAUGGAAGGGCCAUCGCUCAACGGAUAAAAGGUACUCCGGGAUAACAGGCUGAUACCGCCAAGAGUUCAUAUCGACGGCGGUGUUUGGCACCUCGAUGUCGGCUCAUCACAUCCGGGCUGAAGUAGGUCCCAAGGGUAUGGCUGUUCGCCAUUUAAAGUGGUACGCGAGCUGGGUUUAGAACGUCGUGAGACAGUUCGGUCCCUAUCUGCCGUGGGCGCUGGAGAACUGAGGGGCUGCUCCUGUACAGAGGACCGAGUGGACGCAUCACUGGUGUUCGGUUGUCAUGCCAAUGGCACUGCCCGGUAGCUAAAUGCGGAAGAGAUAAGUGCUGAAAGCAUCUAAGCACGAAACUUGCCCCGAGAUGAGUUCUCCCUGAGACUUUAGGUCUCCUGAAGGAACGUUGAAGACGACGACGUUGAUAGGCCGGGUGUGAAAGCGCAGCGAUGCGUUGAGCUAACCGGUACUAAUGAACCGUGAGGCUUAACCUUACAACGCCGAAG